UACAUGCGCGAACUCGUGGGUUCCCGUUCGGCCGUUCGCCGGGCGGGUGAAAAGGGAACGCGGUGCCGGGCUUUGCUCCACUCCGCGGCUGCCCCCGCAACUGUAAGCAGCGAUGUCUGCUCCGAAUGCCACUGGCGGUGACGCUGGGAAGGCGGAGCAGGCGGUUAGAGACGCUGCGAGCCAGGAGACCUGCCCAUCGAGCGUCACCCAU
rnacentral:ncRNA from 1 species